UACGGAGGAUGCGAGCGUUAUCCGGAUUUAUUGGGUUUAAAGGGUGCGUAGGCGGAUUGAUAAGUCAGUGGUGAAAUUCUACAGCUUAACUGUAGACUUGCCGUUGAUACUGUUAGUCUUGAGUGUGGUCAAGGCAGGCGUAAUGUGUAAUGUAGCGGUGAAAUGCUUAGAUAUUACACAGAACACCGAUUGCGAAGGCAGCUUGCUGGGUCAUUACUGACGCUGAUGCACGAAAGCGUGGGGAUCAAACA
rnacentral:rRNA from 1 species